UGUGUGUGUGUGUGUGUGUGUGUGUGUGUGUGUGUGUGUGUGUGUGCAGUCCUUGACUGCGGUGGACUCAUGCUGAUUAGCAGUGCUGCCAGGUCCUUUGUGCUCCUCAGACGGGGAUAAUUGUUUUGUUCACUGCACAGCAUCUCUUUGAAGUCCUCAUUCAAUUUAUGUCUUCAGAGAUGUUCCCUCAUUCAAAGGAAGGGGUAGAGGGGAUUUUUCAGGCCCCUGUGUUGUAAUUGCAUAGCAACCUACUAAACCAUACAGAAUAUACAUAAUGUACAUAUAUAACAAGGCUAGCUAGGCAUCCCUGGUGCUGGAGUUCCAGAAGCAGUGUGUUUUUCCAGCCAUGCAGCACACCUGACUGUACUUAGCAUCUAAAACACUGAGCUAAUUGAUCCAUUUCACUGAUUGAUACAUGCUCCCUCACUGCCACCCACCAGGGUGUCCUACUGAUGAUUUCUUCAAACCUGGUCUUGGGGAACCACGGUGUGUGUGUGCAGGCUUUUGUUCUACCACAGCACUAACACACCUGGUUCAAUUAAUCAAGCUUGAUCUGUUGAAAAUGUGUGUGUUAGAAUGUGAUGAGGCGGUGACUGUGACUCCUCCCAGGUCUCUCCUCUGACUCUCUCUAAGGACAGGUCUGUGUGGAUGAAUAGUACUGGGCUGUGGAGGCUGGCUCUCUCUAAGGACAGGUCUCUGUGUGGAUGAAUAGUACUGGGCUGUGGAGGCUGACUCUCUCUAAGGAUAGGUCUGUGUGGAUGAAUAGUACUGGGCUGUGGAGGCUGACUCUCUCUAAGGAUAGGUCUCUGUGUGGAUGAAUAGUACUGGGCUGUGGAGGCUGACUCUCU
ensembl:lncRNA